AGAGGGAUCCCUUCCUCUGCACUAGCAGCGUCACCUGAAAAACAACAACAUUUAACUGUUAUCUACCCUAUUUACCACCAAGGACGUACAUGGAAAGUGGAAUGAAAAAAAAUACAUUUUUUGAAGUGACCCCAAACUUUUGAAUGGUAUUGGAUAUACUGAGAGCUGUUGCAGCAAUUCAGGAGCCAAGUAGAGAGGAGGCUCGUCAAGAGGGGGCACUUGAAGAAGAGGCUCAGAAGAGUAAAGAUCUACAGUAUGUUAAAGCUAAGUAUGUUAAGUACAAUUUCACCAAUCUGAAAUGGUGGCAGCAUCUCACACUAUGCACUGGGAUCUGUGCCUCAAAUUCAAAGCACACUGCACAACAUGGCCUGAUAGUAGCCUUCACACUGGGCGAUUUCACAAGCCGAUUGUUUACACUCGUGAAAUAAACACUCGAGCCCCCUGCCUUCCUUCUCUACCUAAAUUCUGUGUUUACGAUAGCUAAAAAGACAUUGGUAGAAGUUGAAGGCCAUUAUCAUAACGUUGUUGACCCUCUCAUAUUGUGAGCAAGGGAGCCUUGACCUCCUCAUAUGGUGUCCUGAUGACAAGCAAUCUAGAAAAAAAAUCGGUAUGCUGUGACUCGUGGCAA